CCAAAAAAGAAUGAGCUUUCAAUAUAUGCUAACAUUUAUGGUAACUGUUAUUCGUUUCAUAACUUUCUCGGGUGUAAAACAUUAUUACAUUGAUGGUUUGAGCAAAGCCUCAUACUUAUUUAUGUUCAGGUAGAGUAUACAAUUUGAUUUUCUUGGUUCUAAAAUUUAUUUGAGUUGUGAGAAGAGACUGGUUUUAUAUAGCAGCACAAAAAAAAAAAUGCAGUUUGUUUUUUUAAAAAAAUGCAAUUAAUAUUUGAUACUCUGUUAACAAACUUAUAAUUUAUUGGAACUCAUGCCUAUGAUUUAGUAAUUGAUAUAUAAGUGUAUUCUUCAAGCAAUUACCCAUAAAUUUGAAUUAAUAUUGAAAAAGACUUACUUCCAGUGAAGAACUCCUGUUAUGGACAGUUGAAAUAGCAGUUACUUGCAUUAUAAGUACAUAUUGCUUUAUGCAUUUUCCAUUCUUCUUUUAUUAUUCAAUUUCAAUGAAACCAUAGGUACAAACAAUGAUUGUCUUUAGAGAAGUACUCCACCACUAAAGACAAUCAUUUUUUAUAUUUACAAUUUACAAGUUAUUCAUUUAAUGUUUUAUAUUCUUAAUAUUGUAUGCUCAUUCCUCUUUUAUACAACAAAUAUAUUAUUAUUCAACUUUAUGUUGGUAUCAGAGCCUGUUUAAUUCACGAACCUGUGGGUUAUUGAUGCCAUCUUUUCCUUGCUUGUAGUGAACUGGAGUUGCUUUUAAUGCCUAGAAAUUCUUGAGAUAAUCCUCUGGUUCAGUGGCCAACUCUUUCUACUCGCAAGCAAGGGAAAUAAUGGUAACUUUUUGGAUUUUAUGACUUUCAAAUUCACAAGUCCCGUGAUGAAUCAAGGCGUGCUAAUUAGACCCUGAUGAUCUUCUUCCGCUACUACCUGAUAUGAGUCCUUUCUGUCAUGAUAUAAUUUUAUCCAGUUGGCGAGCUCAAUUGAGUAAUAAUGGUUCAAACCCUUCCUUGUUUAGAGCAGUCUAUAAUGCAUCUGGAUGGCCAUAGCCUUGGGUUAUCGAAGCUUUGCCCAGUAUACUUCAAAAGAUGACCGGGAAGACAAAUAUAUGGCCACUCUGAUUUGCUUAAUGAGUUGACCAAACCCGCUUUUAGGGCCGAUCCUGAUCUCAAACCUAAAUUGAAUAAUAUCAUCAUACAACAACUUGACGAUGCUGCUGGUGAUUUUUCUGGACUUGCUUUAAAAUGCCUUUCUCCGUUAGUGAGGAAGAUGAAUGAGCCAAGGGUUGUCGAAAUGUGCAGUCAACUGUGUGACAAAAUACUAAGCAGGACACUGGGACACUGCUGCUAGCAUUGCUUUGAGGACAGUUGUUGCUGAAGUUUCUACCCAAUCCCUUGCGCAUUCUAUUCUCACCACAAUUGAUAAAAGGAAUUACCGGCAAAUUUAUAUUUUUGGGUACAGUAAGCCUCGUAGCUUUGUGGAGCAAUAUGAGCUAUGCCUGAUGCCAGCAGCACUCUACUAGUUUCUUCAUGUUCACGGCAUGCGAGCUAUAAUGGGAUCAGAUUGAUUUUGGGCCUUUUCGUUUUGUGGUCCAUGAGCUACUAGAUUCUUCUCGACAUGGCAAUAAUGCCGCAUUACUAAUUGUUUGCUUUUAUUUAUGAACUUGCAUAGUUUACAUUUUUUUGGGUGAGUGUUAAUAUAAUUAGUCAUGAACUCUUCAUUUGGUGUUUUUUAAUUCCGAAUCUUCUUUUAUUUGAAUGACCACAGGAUAUGAGCACUGAGAUUAAAUGUAAAUGCCUGGAUAUUUUAUGUGAUGCCCUUCAGAUGAUUAGCUCAUUGUUCUCGAGGGACUUCAUUCUUCUCGAAGAACCAUUCGGUCACAGCGAUCCAGCCAACAGGGUCGGUUCCCAUGAAAUCUGGUAAUUGCUUCUUCAUAGUCCAAACGUCCUCCAUCACUGGCUCCUCGCUGGUUCGAAUCCGGUAGGUCGGACCAAUUAAUAGUGCUGCCCUCCCCUCAAGUAUAGGAGGAAUUCAAACAGUUUUAAUUAAAGUUGCAUGUGCCAAUUCUUGUUUCCAUUCAUCAGUUUGUGCUAUUAGGAAGCAAAGGUAAGAAGAAAAACUCAUCUUUUAUCCCUAUUUCCCUCUGUUUGGCUGAACCCUUAACCCCUUCAUAAAUUCAAUCAUUAUUAUUAUUUUGGCACUUAAUUGCAUGUGAGGUUUUGUGGAGAAAGAAGCAUCGAAUAAUUAUUCUGGAGCUGCAAAUCAAGGAACAUGAGUUAGUAGAAGGGUUGGAAUUUUGGAUCAAGUAUGGUAAUUGGCAUCUUUGUUGCAUUUCAUAUGAGAUAAACAAGUCGAUCAAGAUAAGGGUAAGAACUAAGAAGUAAGUUGGCGAACGGAGUUGUGCACGUGUUCUUUGACGGACUCCUAUUAGUUUAUUUUCUUCCUUAUUUUGUAUAGAUUGAACUAUUUGAAUUAUGUAGCGAUUAUUUCCGCUGUUUGUAUUUGAAUAAUUGUUGGUGAUAGUGUACCAUGCAAAUUCAGACGAA